rnacentral:rRNA from 1 species
AUUGAACGCUGGCGGCAGGCCUAACACAUGCAAGUCGAGCGAGCGGCGGACGGGAGAGUAAUGUAGGGGGACUGCCCGAUAGAGUGGGAUAACUACUGGAAACGGUAGCUAAUACCGCAUACUAUCGGAUAACCCAUAUGGGAUUAUCUCGUAGGUGAGGUACUGGCUCCCCUCGGCGACGAGCCCUAGCUGGUCUGAGAGGAUGAUCAGCCACACGGGGAAGGCGACAUGGCCCAGACUCCUACGGAGGCAGCAGUGGGGAAUAUUGCACAAUGGGCGCUAGCCUGAUGCAGCCAUGCCGCGUGUAUGAAGAAGGCCCUAGGGUUGUAAAGUACUUUCAGUCGGGAGGCGUUACCGACAGAAGAAGCACCGGCUAACUCCGUGCCAGCCGCCGCGGUAAUUC